GACGAACGCUGGCGGCGUGCCUAAUACAUGCAAGUUGAGCGCUGAAGGUUGGUACUUGUACCAACUGGAUGAGCAGCGAACGGGUGAGUAACGCGUGGGGAAUCUGCCUUUGAGCGGGGGACAACAUUUGGAAACGAAUGCUAAUACCGCAUAAAAACUUUAAACACAAGUUUUAAGUUUGAAAGAUGCAAUUGCAUCACUCAAAGAUGAUCCCGCGUUGUAUUAGCUAGGUGGUGAGGUAAAGGCUCACCAAGGCGAUGAUACAUAGCCGACCUGAGAGGGUGAUCGGCCACACUGGGACUGAGACACGGCCCAAAGGCCUACGGGAGGCAGCAGGAGGGAAUCUUCGGCCAGGGACGAAAGUCUGACCGAGCAACGCCGAGUGAGUGAAGAAGGUUUUCGGAUCGUAAAACUCUGUUGGUAGAGAAGAAAGUUGGUGAGAGUGGAAAGCUCAUCAAGUGACGGUAACUACCCAGAAAGGGACGGCUAACUACGUG
rnacentral:rRNA from 1 species